GUUGGUGUCUAUAGCCAAGAGGGUCCACCCGUUCCCAUCCCGAACACGGUAGUUAAGCUCUUGAGUGCCGAAGAUACUUGGCGGGUGACUGCCCGGGAAAAUAGGACGAUGCCAACA
rnacentral:rRNA from 1 species